rnacentral:rRNA from 1 species
UACGUAGGGUGCAAGCGUUGUCCGGAAUUAUUGGGCGUAAAGAGCUCGUAGGCGGUUUGUCGCGUCUGCUGUGAAAACUUGGGGCUUAACCCUGAGCUUGCGGUCGAUACGGGCAUGACUGGAGUUCGGCAGGGGAGACUGGAAUUCCUGGUGUAGCGGUGAAAUGCGCAGAUAUCAGGAGGAACACCGGUGGCGAAGGCGGUUCUCUGGGCAUUACCUGACGCUGAGGAGCGAAAGUGUGGGGAGCGAACAGG